UCUCUGGUAGUAUAUCGGAUAGUACACCCGCCUGUCACUGUCAGAUCGUUAAGACUGAGACCGCGGGAGAGCGGGGUUCGACUCCCCGCCAGAGAG